UGAUCGCGGCUGACGUAUACCGAAAGGUGUCAGGUGAGGAAAGUCCGGGCUUCGAAGGGCAGGAUGCCGGAUAACGUCCGGUGGAGGUGACUCCAAGGCCAGUGCAACAGAAAUAUACCGCCUGCCAGGUGCAGGUAAGGGUGGAAGGGCAGUGUAAGAGACUACCGCCUGACUGGUAACAGACAGGGCACAUGUAAACCCCAUCCGAAGCAAGACCGAACAAAAAGCAAUGUGGCUGCCCGUCACGCUUUUAGGUGGGUCGCUUGAGGCUGCUGGCGACAGCAGCACUAGACAGAUGAUCAUUCACGACAUAACCCGGCUUAUCGUUCUGCUU
rnacentral:RNase_P_RNA from 1 species